rnacentral:rRNA from 1 species
AUGUAAUGUAAUUCCUACAGUGUUAAUGCAUUGGAUCCCAUUAGAACUAUGCAGUUAAGCAUGCUUGGGCUAGAGUAGUAAUGAGAUGGGUGACCUCCUAGGAAGUCCUAGUAUUUUACAUG